rnacentral:rRNA from 1 species
GCAGUCGAGCGGCAGCACGGGUACUUGUACCUGGUGGCGAGCGGCGGACGGGUGAGUAAUACCUAGGAAUCUGCCUGGUAGUGGGGGAUAACGUUCGGAAACGGACGCUAAUACCGCAUACGUCCUACGGGAGAAAGCAGGGGACCUUCGGGCCUUGCGCUAUCAGAUGAGCCUAGGUCGGAUUAGCUAGUUGGUGAGGUAAUGGCUCACCAAGGCUACGAUCCGUAACUGGUCUGAGAGGAUGAUCAGUCACACUGGAACUGAGACACGGUCCAGACUCCUACGGGAGGCAGCAGUGGGGAAUAUUGGACAAUGGGCGAAAGCCUGAUCCAGCCAUGCCGCGUGUGUGAAGAAGGUCUUCGGAUUGUAAAGCACUUUAAGUUGGGAGGAAGGGCCGUUACCUAAUACGUGAUGGUUUUGACGUUACCGACAGAAUAAGCACCGGCUAACUCUGUGCCAGCAGCCGCGGUAAUACAGAGGGUGCAAGCGUUAAUCGGAAUUACUGGGCGUAAAGCGCGCGUAGGUGGUUCGUUAAGUUGGAUGUGAAAUCCCCGGGCUCAACCUGGGAACUGCAUUCAAAACUGUCGAGCUAGAGUAUGGUAGAGGGUGGUGGAAUUUCCUGUGUAGCGGUGAAAUGCGUAGAUAUAGGAAGGAACACCAGUGGCGAAGGCGACCACCUGGACUGAUACUGACACUGAGGUGCGAAAGCGUGGGGAGCAACAGGAUUAGAUACCCUGGUAGUCCACGCCGUAAACGAUGUCAACUAGCCGUUGGGAGCCUUGAGCUCUUAUGGCGCAGCUAACGCAUUAAGUUGACCGCCUGGGGAGUACGGCCGCAAGGUUAAACUCAAUGAAUUGACGGGGGCCGCACAGCGGUGGAC